AUUGAACGCUGGCGGCAGGCCUAACACAUGCAAGUCGAGCGGCAGCGGAAAGUAGCUUGCUACUUCGCCGGCGAGCGGCGGACGGGUGAGUAAUGUCUGGGAAACUGCCUGAUGGAGGGGGAUAACUACUGGAAACGGUAGCUAAUACCGCAUAACGUCGCAAGACCAAAGAGGGGGACCUUCGGGCCUCUUGCCAUCAGAUGUGCCCAGAUGGGAUUAGCUGGUAGGUGGGGUAACGGCUCACCUAGGCGACGAUCCCUAGCUGGUCUGAGAGGAUGACCAGCCACACUGGAACUGAGACACGGUCCAGACUCCUACGGGAGGCAGCAGUGGGGAAUAUUGCACAAUGGGCGCAAGCCUGAUGCAGCCAUGCCGCGUGUAUGAAGAAGGCCUUCGGGUUGUAAAGUACUUUCAGCGGGGAGGAAGGUGUUGUGGUUAAUAACCACAGCAAUUGACGUUACCCGCAGAAGAAGCACCGGCUAACUCCGUGCCAGCCGCCGCAGUAA
rnacentral:rRNA from 1 species